ensembl:lncRNA
CGGGGAACGUAAAAUAUACAGCUUUAUUUAUUGAAAACCUUUAAUAAAGAGCAGUAUGUGACUACGGAUUACUUUAUUCCCCACAUGGAUGGUUUUGAACUGGUUCCUUGCAAUGAAAUGAACUGUUCAAAAGAACCGACUCGCGAAAAGGAUUCAAACUUUCCUUCACUAGAACGUGCAGCUGUGAUAGCGGUCGGAAGAAACAGCACCUACUGUGAACUGUUCCUAGAGUGAGUUAACUAAUACAGUUCUGAAAGUAUUUAUCUAAUAAAUCAAAGAGCAGCUGCCAAAGUAUCUCAUGGGAGAAGUUCAACUCUGUACCACAAAGGACCGUCCCUCAUCCCAGGAGGUGCGCAGAGGGAAGUGUAUGCCCGGAGAGGGGGACAUUGAGACUGCACUGGCCUGGUUGAGGAAGGAGCUGAUGGAGAUGCGCUCUCAGGACCAAGCUUUGAUUCGCCAGCUGAUGGAUCUCCAUGAUGGCAUUCAGGAACUAAAGCAGGAGUGUGCAAAAGCCAUAGAAGAAGAGGAGGAGGAGGAGGAGGAGGAGGAGGAACCUUGUUGGGACUCUGGGAGUGAGGGUGGGGGGAGCAGUAUGUCCUCCUUCUCAGGAGAAAUGAGCUUUUACCCUUCCAUCUACUCCUUUAGCACAUGUAUGAGCCCCGCUCCUCUUGCAGCCUACCUGCCCAAGCGGGCCUUUGGUAGACGCAGCUCUGUGCCCUGAAACCUCCAGUUCAGAUCACAUGUGCUUGAUUAAUACACCAAGUUCCAGUAUGCAUGUUACAUUAGUGUUGAGUCUCACAGAAGAACUAGUUAUGUGAGAAAUUUCUUAAUGUCUUAUUGGACCCUGUAUUUAAAACAACCCGAGUAACACAACUGCCUUAAGUUCAGAACAUACUAAAGAGAAAAGGUAAAAUGUUUUACACUGUGAGAAACUUGAUAAAGUCUUUGGUGAUUGACUGCUAUUCUACCUGAAUGCACUAAUAGAGAUACAUUAGAAUGCACUGUGGAAGUUUGUUUUACUUAAACAGCUCUUAGCCUAUAGAUCUGUAAAUGCAUUUUAUUUUAUUUCUCAAAACUGAAGUGCCUCUUCAAACUAAGUGCAUAAGUGUUGUAUGAUGUUUUUAUGACACUGACAGCAAAUUACCAGAAAUGUAUUGUUUUGAAAGUAGGACAAUGAACAACUCCAUUCUAUUGUAUUUUGAGAGUCACAGCAUGUAAAAUUUGGAUUUUUCUUUUCUUUUUGAUCAAGAUGUGAACAUAUAUUCACUGAUUUUCUGGGACAAAUAUAAAAAAACUAAUGAUAUGCAAUGAAAUGCUUUGACAUCAUACUUACUACUAGUACCACAAGUAUGAUAAUAAAAUCCUAUAAACCUGAUCA